GCUGGCGGCAUGCCUUACACAUGCAAGUCGAAUGGCAGCGGGCCCUUCGGGGUGCCGGCGAGUGGCGAACGGGUGAGUAAUGCAUCGGAACGUACCCGGGAGUGGGGGAUAACCAGCCGAAAGGCUGGCUAAUACCGCAUGAUCUCGGAAGAGCAAAGCGGGGGACCUUCGGGCCUCGCGCUCUCGGAGCGGCCGAUGUCCGAUUAGCUAGUUGGUGAGGUAAAGGCUCACCAAGGCGACGAUCGGUAGCGGGUCUGAGAGGACGAUCCGCCACACUGGGACUGAGACACGGCCCAGACUCCUACGGGAGGCAGCAGUGGGGAAUCUUGGACAAUGGGCGCAAGCCUGAUCCAGCAAUGCCGCGUGGGUGAAGAAGGCCUUCGGGUUGUAAAGCCCUUUCGGCGGGGAAGAAAUCGGCCGGGCGAAUAGUUCGGCUGGAUGACGGUACCCGCAGAAGAAGCACCGGCUAACUACGUGCCAGCAGCCGCGGUAAUACGUAGGGUGCGAGCGUUAAUCGGAAUUACUGGGCGUAAAGGGUGCGCAGGCGGCUGUGUAAGACCGGUGUGAAAUCCCCGGGCUCACCUGGGAAUGGCGCUGGUGACUGCACAGCUCGAGUACGGUAAAGGGGGGUGGAUUCCUG
rnacentral:rRNA from 1 species